CUAACAAGUCAGCCCAGAGUAGGUCAUGUCUAACAAGUCACCUCAAACAGAGUAGGUCAUGUCUAACAAGUCACCUCAAACAGAGUAGGUCAUGUCUAACAAGUCAGCUCAAACAGAGUAGGUCAUGUCUAACAAGUCAGCCCAGAGUAGGUCAUGUCUAACAAGUCAGCUCAAACAGAGUAGGUCAUGUCUAACAAGUCAGCUCAAACAGAGUAGGUCAUGUCUAACAAGUCAGCCCAGAGUAGGUCAUGUCUAACAAGUCAGCCCAGAGUAGGUCAUGUCUAACAAGUCACCUCAAACAGAGUAGGUCAUGUCUAACAAGUCAGCUCA